CCAGCCCUGGAUUCCCAGGUGUUUUCAUUCAGUGAUCAUCACUGAGCACAGACCACUCACCAUGGAGUUGGGGUUCAACUGCUUUUUUCUUUUUAUUCUUUUAAAGGGUGUCCAGUGUGAGGUGCAGCUGGUAGAGUCUGGGGGUAGUUUGGCACAGCCUGGGGGGUCCCUGAGAAUCUCCUGUGCUGCCUCUGGAUUCACCUUCAGUGAUUACUACAUGAGUUGGAUCCGCCAGACUCCAGGGAAACAGCUGGAGUGGCUCUCCUACAUUAGUGGUAACAGUGAUAGUAUAGACUACGCAGCAUCUGUGAAGGGCCGGUUUACCAUUUCCAGAGACAAUUCCAGGAACACCCUGUACCUGCAAAUGAAUAGUCUGAAACUCGAAGACACAGCCAUGUAUUACUGUGCAAGAGACACAAUGAGGUAA